AACGAACGCUGGCGGCAUGCCUAACACAUGCAAGUCGAACGAGACCUUCGGGUCUAGUGGCGCACGGGUGCGUAACGCGUGGGGAUCUGCCCUUUGCUUCGGAAUAACAGUUAGAAAUGACUGCUAAUACCGGAUGAUGACUUCGGUCCAAAGAUUUAUCGGCAAAGGAUGAACCCGCGUAGGAUUAGCUAGUUGGUGGGGUAAAGGCCUACCAAGGCGACGAUCCUUAGCUGGUCUGAGAGGAUGAUCAGCCACACUGGGACUGAGACACGGCCCAGACUCCUACGGGAGGCAGCAGUGGGGAAUAUUGGACAAUGGGCGAAAGCCUGAUCCAGCAAUGCCGCGUGAGUGAUGAAGGCCUUAGGGUUGUAAAGCUCUUUUACCCGGGAUGAUAAUGACAGUACCGGGAGAAUAAGCUCCGGCUAACUCCGUGCCAGCAGCCGCGU
rnacentral:rRNA from 1 species